rnacentral:lncRNA from 1 species
CAGUUGCUGACCCAGCCCCGGCCUCAGCUUUCUUGUCGGCACCAGCUGGAACAAGAAACAUCACUUUAGAACCAUCGGAUGAGGUGAUCUACUACAGACCAAGGGAAGCCAUUUCAACAAUUGUACACCAUGAAGUACAGGUAAAUUAUACCCAAUGGUGAAUCACUUCUGCCCCGUCCCUCUCCUGUGGCAGCUUUCCUUAUGUCAUCCUUCAGAACUCACGGUCCAAACUACCGCCUCCUCCAGGAAGGCUGCCCAGACCACCAAGUCUGAAUUAUGUGCCCUUCAAUAUAGGCCCCCACUUCCCAUCGAGUUACUUACAUGCUUCAGAUGAUCAGCACCUAGCUUACAGACACAGUGCAAUAAAAAGGAAGAGAUAAAGAACAUAAAGGCUCACAGAAGGAAAAAGUAACUUCAUUAUGACCACAGUAAAGAACAAAGAUGAAAAGAUCCGGUGCUGCCCUGUCCUGUGUGGCAGCCACUGGUCCAAACUGAGGUGUGUGCAGAAUACAUCAGACUUAAAGACUUGAGAGAGUGCAAAACAAUGUUUAUACAGAUUACAUGUUAAAAUAGCACCGUAUUUUAUUUUUCUUAAAAUUUUAGUUUGAGAGCAAGAGAGAAUCUCAAGGAGGUGCCAUGCUGUUGGCACAGAGCCCAAUGCAGGUCUCAAUCUCAUGAACCAUGAGAUCAUUUACAUGAGCCAAAACCAAGAGUCAGACGCUUAACUGACUGAGCCACCCAGGUGCCCCUAAAAUAACAUUUUUAAAAAUACUGGAUUUGGGGUACGUGGCUGGCUCAAUCAGUAGAGCACACAACUCAAUCUCAGGGUUGUAGGUCGGAGCCCCACGUCGGAUAUAGAGCUUAAAAAAUAAACAAAUAAAAUCUUGCUUUUCUCCCCUCACUCCCCCGCCCCUUUGACAAGCAAGCUAUCAUGUUCCCAAUGCUGUACUUUUGUUCAUGUUGCUCUCACCCGAAAUGCUCAUUCCCACUCAAACUGGGGCUCAGGCCCAACCUCACAUCCUCUGGAGAACUACUCCAAUUCCCCAUGUGAUGUGACUUUUUAAAAUAUUUUUUUUAAUGUUUAUUUAUUUUUGAGACAGAGAGAGACACAGCAUGAACGGGGGAGGGUCAGAGAGAGAGAGAGGGAGACACAGAACCUGAAGCAGGCUCCAGGCUCUGAGCCAUCAGCACAGAGACCAACACGGGGCUCGAACUCCUGGACUGUGAGAUCACAACCUGAGCGGAAGUCAGAAGCUCAACCGACUGAGCCACCCAGGUGCCCGGUGAUGUGACAUCUAAUAAGAGCAACCAUUAACUUUCUCUGAACUAGGGGCUGAAGAAAUUCUUUCUUACUAUCCAGUAAAUUCAGAUCAGGUGCUCAUGUCUAUUUCUUUUAUGAAGAAUCAGGAACCAGGACACGAGGCAGGUAUGUGUGGAAGAAGCUGACGAAAAUUCCUUUAUAACCUUUCGUAUUACAAUUAACUGCUUCUCAACAAAGAUAAGGACUCUUUAAGUGGCCCACAAAGCUAUGAGACCCUACACCCUCAUCUGACUCUCCUGUCUUCUGUGGUUUAGACAAGCCAGACCAGGUGCCUUAAUGCUCACCCCACAGAGAGCUACUGGCUGACUCCCCAUACCUCCUUCAGAUGUUUGCUUAAAUCUCACUUCUGUGACUGAAAACCCUAUUGAAAACUGCACCAUCCCCCUGCUUUAUUUUUCCCUGAAGCAUCCACACCAGAGGCAGACUAUAUACUCAUUUUUGCUUACCAGUCUCCUACUACUAAAAUGCAAUUUCAGUGAGAAAGACCCUUUAUCUGUUAUGUACGCUACUGUCUCUCCAGCUCCUACAACAGUGCCCGGUACGUCACAGAAAUAUAUAUAUAUUGGUUGAAUGAACAAACACCUGUUAUUCCAAGACAAUGCAAACACCUAUUUAAAGACAAGGUUUUGAACCAUUUUUGCAAGAAGCAAAAGACAAUUUGAAUGGGCCCUGCCUGCAAGGAGCUUGCGACACAGGAACACAACCACCAACUAACAAAAGCACGUUGCUUUCUGGAAAAGUUUUCUGUUUUGCUCUACUUAAGGUCUUCAAUAAAGUCUUCCCUGUCCCCAGUGAAAAGGCCUUUUCCCCUAAUCCCAUCUAUCCAAUCCCCGCACAAGGCAAGAAACAUAAAGGACUCCAGCUAAAGAUGACCUAAAGAUUGAAACCAAGAAUCUUUCCUAGUCACCUUGGCAUUUUCGAGGGCUGAGCCCCAGCCAAGGUGACUGAGAAUCCAGAGAUCCCACCCCAAUACACCGAUACAGGUGAUGCAUUACUCACGGGGCACAGCGCUUCGUCUGUAGGUGUCUCUGUCAGCUUCCCCUCGUGUGAGUCUUGCAGGCCGCUCUCCUUCCAGACCUAGAGAAAUGAAACCACACUGUGAACACAGAGCCAUGUGGGAACUCUGUUGCCUCCAGGCCAAGAAAAGUGAAAUUGCUCUCCUGUUCUCACUGGCAACUUAGUUACGAUGAGUUCAAGGGGACAGAACUGACACAGAACUACUGGCCAGAAGUUUUGUCAUCACUGACACUGGCUCCUCAAAUGUGAUGGAGAAAACUCACAAUUAAAAUGCCACCCAUCUGCAAAAGUAUUGCUUUCUUCUACUGCACUUCUCAACACAGAUACACAUCUUCCAAAUACUUGGCAAAUUAAGCAAUCUGACCAUUUCUACAAAUCUCUGAAGAGCCAAAAUUUUGAACUUGACCCAUCUCUGAAGUGGAAAAUCUCCUGUGCAAAUGGGAAAGGAGGUGCUGAAAGCCCCACCUCCAACAGUCAGCAUAUAAAUAUACAGGCCACCAAGAACCCUUUAGUCCCUGGGCUGUGGGAUAUAUGUUAAGGCAGAUUAACUUAUUUCAGAGUUUCUUUAUUUUGAGAGAAUAAGAGAGACAGAGAGAGAAUGAAUAUGAAUGAAUAAAUAUUCCAAGCAGGCUCUGCACCAGCAGCACAGAGCCCAGUGCAGUUGGUGAACUCACCAACUGGGAGAUCAUGACCUUAGUAGAAACCAAGAGUCAGAUGCUUAACUGAGCCACCCAGAUGCCCCUAGGCAGAUUUAAAAGGUACUUUUAAAACAUUCUCCAAAACACUAGAAGUUAAUCUCAUUCUCUCUACCCAGCACCCUAGAACUUUACCUAGAAUCCAUGAUUAGAAUAUAGACUAUAAUUGAUCUGAAACACGUCUGAACUGCAGGGAUCUACCCAGACACAAUUUCUUUUCAUAAACUAAGAGUAUAGUACAGUAAACACAGAGGCACCUCUAACCUCCACAUUGUUCCAAAGGUCAAGUGUAUUUUUUUUUUUUUUAAGUACAAGAAGUAAGACUGAACCUGUAGUGAGUGGCUAAAAUACAUGCCAGGUCUCAUUUAUGCCAACUAAAUCAGAAUCUGUGGGGGCACAGACUGUUCUUCCCCCCCGCCGGGGAUUCCAAGAUACAGUAGAGAACCUUUGCUCUACUGAUACAUAAUCCCACGUAACCACCAGAAUCCCCUAGGGAACGUUCACAAAAAAUAGAUUCCUGAGUGCUAAGAAGUCUCUCGCCAGGGGAACCUGGACAGUGUGGUGAUUAUCUGGUUUUAGGACACUGCACCUCAUUACCCAAGCCCACAAACUGCUCCUCCCACAAAAUUCCUAUGACAAGUUCUUCCAUAACCUAAGGAAAGAAAAUCAUAACCUUGACAAAACACAACUGUGAGCCAGCAGUGAUCCCCCGCCAGAAGGUAAUUCACCACCCUUCUCACCAGCACAUCCUUUCACACUAUGAUUAGGAGUUUGAGUUUUGAUUAUUUUAAUUUUUUUUAAACGUUUAUUUAUUUUUGAGACAGAGCAUGAACGGGGGAGGGGCAGAGAGAGAGGGAGACAGAAUUGGAAGCAGGCUCCAGGCUCCGAGUCAUCAGCCCAGAGCCCGAUGCGGGGCUCGAACUCACGGACAGCGAAAUCGUGACCUGAGCCGAAGUCGGACGCUCAACCGACUGAGCCACCCAGGCGCCCCAGUUUUGAUUAUUUUAAAUCAAAUCAACCAGAGCCCAACGUGGGGCUCGAACUCUGAACGGUGAGAUCGUGACCUAGGCCCAAGUAGGAUGCUUAACCGACUGAGCCACCCAGGCACCCCUUGAUUAUUUUUGCUCCCAUUGCCAAGAGACUGUAAAUAAACUCUCCAUUUCUUUCACAUGUGGUAAACAGCUUUGUUCUGGACUUUUGGAGACCGGCACAAUCUCUGUCCUGGAAAAGUUAUUGCAUGCUCUACCACAUGUGCCUGGCCACAGACUAUAUUCUGUUUAAUGGCAUCACCUGGAAUGGCCUGAAGACCUGGCAUGACUGCGGUUCCAUUACGAGUCCUACGCCAGGGGACAAAGGUUCCAGGACUUGGCCCACGGUCCAGCUGACACCAAUGGUGUAUUAUAAGAGCCCUUUUGCUCCCCACCGUUUCACAUAUACCCUUCCUCUGAGAGAGAGAGAGCAACUUCAGGGCAGGCCUUCAUGUGGGCAACAUACCUUUGGGCCGCGGCCUGCCGGUCUCAGGACGGCUGCGACGCAGAGUGGCAGGCACGAUCUCAGGGGGCAGGUGGAGGUAAUCACGAAGAUACUGGAUACCCUCGUUGGUAAGGUACCAAUAGAAAUGUCUCCAGGCAAACUGUUCCUUUACGUAGCCUCGUGAUUUGAGAGACUGUAAAACAGAAAACAACUGUCAAGAUGCAACUAGAGACCCGAAUCUAGAAACUUGGUGCAAAAGGAAGCUAAAUUACGUAGACAAGCUUUCAGGAUGUAUCUACCUCAGCGCCCUUCAAGGCAGCAAGCAGCUCUGGCUGUCCUGACCUCUCCUUGGAAUCUGCCUCCAACAUUUAGUGGAAAAUCCCUCCAUCUGCACCCCACUCCAGCAGCCCCCAGGCUACCUGCAUGGCUUUCAUGACGUGAAGAUUGGGCACAUUCUUGUCUGCCAGCUCAGGGUGUUUAGGCAUGUGGACAUCCUUCUUGGCCACCAUCACUCCCUCCUUGAAAAGGAGUUCAUA